AUUGAACGCUGGCGGCAGGCCUAACACAUGCAAGUCGAACGGUAACAGGAAGCAGCUUGCUGCUUCGCUGACGAGUGGCGGACGGGUGAGUAAUGUCUGGGAAGCUGCCUGAUGGAGGGGGAUAACUACUGGAAACGGUAGCUAAUACCGCAUAAUGUCGCAAGACCAAAGAGGGGGACCUUCGGGCUUCUUGCCUCGGAAUGGGCCAGAUGGGAUUAGCUUGUUGGUGGGGUAACGGCUCACCAAGGCGACGAUCCCUAGCUGGUCUGAGAGGAUGACCAGCCACACUGGAACUGAGACACGGUCCAGACUCCUACGGGAGGCAGCAGUGGGGAAUAUUGCACAAUGGGCGCAAGCCUGAUGCAGCCAUGCCGCGUGUAUGAAGAAGGCCUUCGGGUUGUAAAGUACUUUCAGCGGGGAGGAAGGGAGUAAAGUUAAUACCUUUGCUCAUUGACGUUACCCGCAGAAGAAGCACCGGCUAACUCCGUG
rnacentral:rRNA from 1 species